AGUGAACGCUGGCGGUAGGCCUAACACAUGCAAGUCGAACGGCAGCACAGUAAGAGCUUGCUCUUACGGGUGGCGAGUGGCGGACGGGUGAGGAAUACAUCGGAAUCUACUUUUUCGUGGGGGAUAACGUAGGGAAACUUACGCUAAUACCGCAUACGACCUACGGGUGAAAGCAGGGAUCUUCGGACCUUGCGCGAUUGAAUGAGCCGAUGUCGGAUUAGCUAGUUGGCGGGGUAAAGGCCCACCAAGGCGACGAUCCGUAGCUGGUCUGAGAGGAUGAUCAGCCACGCUGGAACUGAGACACGGUCCAGACUCCUACGGGAGGCAGCAGUGGGGAAUAUUGGACAAUGGGCGCAAGCCUGAUCCAGCCAUACCGCGUGGGUGAAGAAGGCCUUCGGGUUGUAAAGCCCUUUUGUUGGGAAAGAAAAGCAGCAGGUUAAUACCCCGCUGUUCUGACGGUACCCAAAGAAUAAGCACCGGCUAACUUCGUG
rnacentral:rRNA from 1 species